UACAGAGGGUGCGAGCGUUGUUCGGAAUUACUGGGCGUAAAGGGCGCGCAGGCGGCUCUGAAAGUCAGAUGUGAAAGCCCCGGGCUUAACCUGGGAAUUGCAUUUGAUACUCUGGAGCUUGAGUACGGGAGAGGAUAGUGGAAUUCCCAGUGUAGAGGUGAAAUUCGUAGAUAUUGGGAAGAACACCGGUGGCGAAGGCGGCUAUCUGGACCGUAACUGACGCUGAGGCGCGAAAGCGUGGGGAGCAAACAGG
rnacentral:rRNA from 1 species